rnacentral:rRNA from 1 species
UAAAUCCUACGGGGCGCAGCAGUAGGGAAUCUUCCACAAUGGACGAAAGUCCGAUGGAGCAACGCCGCGUGAGUGAAGAAGGGUUUCGGCUCGUAAAGCUCUGUUGGUAGGGGAGAAAGAUAGAGGUAGUAACUGGCCUUUAUUUGACGGUAAUUUCUUAGAAAGUCACGGCUAACUACGUGCCAGCAGGCGCGGUAAUACGUAUGUGGCAAGCGUUGUCCGGAUUUAUUGGGCGUA